rnacentral:sRNA from 1 species
AAGAACUAUGACGACUUUUGCCACUUGUUUUCCGUGGCUGUGCAACAAAAAAUAAUAUAAUAAACAAUAAUCAAAUAAAGAACUUAACAUCGUCACAAGCUUUGAAGCUUUUUGAAAAUUUGCGUAUCGUUUACGACCGUACAUAUGUAUGUCGUUUAGUCGACUACCCCCUACAGGCCAAAACGGAGAAAAUAAACAAAUUUUGUUUUUAAAAUAUAGGUUUUUUAAUCUUUGAUUUUAAUCAGCGUUGUAUGAGCGGGUUUAAAUGAUUUAAGAAGUGCUUAUUUAAGUUUGUAGGAGAAAUAUUCCUCCAGAGCGUACAAUUGUACAAUUCGUACACUAAUCUUUUAAUGGUUGUAUUCCACUAGCAAAAAAAACAACAAUAAAUUUGUGUUGAUGUUGUUUGUUUGCCAGAGUUUCUUUCAUUUCUUGGCUUCCGGGCUGCGAACUACAAACCAAUCCACGCAACGGAAUUUAUUUAAAGCCCGAAAAAAUUAAUUAAGAACCUUUAGAAAUUACAUGCAGCUACAUAUGUAUAAACUAUCUAUAUACAUUUUAACACAGCCUUUCGUUAAAUUAUAGUACACGCACACAAAUAGUACAUAGUUAGCCGAUGGUUUUCAAAUGCAACUCUGAAUAAUUGUCAUUCACAAUGGAAAAAUGGUAUUCACUGCGAAAACGUAAACAAUGAUUGUGAC